UACAUGUGGGGCAAGCGUUGUUCGGAAUUACUGGGCGUAAAGGGUGCGUAGGUGGUUUGUUAAGUCACGGGUGAAAGUUUUCGGCCCAACCGGAAAAUUGCCCGUGAUACUGGCGAACUUGAGUGCGUGAGGGGUUACCGGAACGAGCAGUGUAGCGGUGAAAUGCGUAGAUAUCAGGAGGAACACCUGUGGUGUAGACAGCUUACUGGACCACUUCUGACGCUGAGACACGAAAGCGUGGGUAGCAAACAGG
rnacentral:rRNA from 1 species